UACAGAGGUCCCAAGCGUUGUUCGGAUUCACUGGGCGUAAAGGGCGCGCAGGUGGGUUUGCAAGUUCGAUGUGAAAGCCCCGGGCUUAACCCGGGAAUGGCAUUGGAUACUGCAGAUCUGGAGGAUCGGAGGGGGGACUGGAAUUCUUGGUGUAGCAGUGAAAUGCGUAGAUAUCAAGAGGAACACCAGUGGCGAAGGCGAGUCCCUGGACGAUACCUGACACUGAGGCACGAAAGCUAGGGGAGCAAACAGG
rnacentral:rRNA from 1 species